rnacentral:sRNA from 1 species
CACUUCGGUCCGGAGUUGAUGGGUUAUCAUUCUGAAUUGUUUACUCUCUUCUGCUUGCAGGAGAACCCCCGGUUUCAUUGCGAAACCAAAACUCUCGCAUUCUCAUUAAGAGUGCAAAACCUUCCCAUCAACACCAACUCGACCGUUGU